rnacentral:rRNA from 1 species
AGUGAACGCUGGCGGUAGGCCUAACACAUGCAAGUCGAACGGCAGCACAGGAGAGCUUGCUCUCUGGGUGGCGAGUGGCGGACGGGUGAGGAAUACAUCGGAAUCUGCCCAGUCGGGGGGGAUAACGUGGGGAAACUUACGCUAAUACCGAAUACGACCUUCGGGGGAAAGAGGGGGAUGGAAGGACCUCUCGCGAUUGGAUGAGCCGAUGUCGGAUUAGCUAGUUGGCGGGGUAAUGGCCCACCAAGGCGACGAUCCGUAGCUGGUCUGAGAGGAUGAUCAGCCACACUGGAACUGAGACACGGUCCAGACUCCUACGGGAGGCAGCAGUGGGGAAUAUUGGACAAUGGGCGCAAGCCUGAUCCAGCCAUACCGCGUGGGUGAAGAAGGCCUUCGGGUUGUAAAGCCCUUUUGUUGGGAAAGAAAUCUUUCAGGCUAAUACCCUGGGAGGAUGACGGUACCCAAAGAAUAAGCACCGGCUAACUUCGUG